ensembl:lncRNA
GUAUUUCCCAUUUUUAUUGUGAUUCAUAUGACAAAAAAUAAAAUCCACCGAUUACCAUCCAUUUAAAGUAAAUUCAAGUAAAUAGACAAAUGUUCACUUGACAGUCAUGGCAUAACACAGAGAGCGGAUGUUAAAGUGUAUAGUGGACCACUUAUGGAAAGUGCUAACAAUCAAAACAUAGCUUGACAGCAUACACGUGGAUAUAAUGAAUACACCAAAAUGUAAAAUAAAGUCUCAAAUUGUCAGAUUUAGUCCACAGUUAUGGAAAAUAAAAUGCUGCUGCAUACUGCAGAAUAACAUGCCAUAAGUAUGAAUAAUACACUUAAUAUUUUACAGUAAAAUAUUUCUUUACAUAUCUAAAUACGUUUGAGUAAAGUCAGGGCAGUAGAGUUCACCCUCUCACAUACUGAAAUAAAUAAACAAACACUAAUAACUACUUACAGGAACUUACGCAUAAACAACACAAAUGCCAACCAGGGCUUCACAUUCAAAUAAAUAACUUCAAACACACAUUUGUCUCAGGUUAAGAACAGUUACAUUCAGAAACGAGGUCUAGAGGUUAGAGAAAAAAAGGAAACAAGAUGUGGUGGUGUUAUAACUCAGAUUUAAAACUGAAAAUGUCCCUUCCUGUGUGGAAUCACUGUGGAUUUCACACGCUUAUUAGAGCUGAUAUCGCUUUCAUCCAGGCAUGUAGUUGUAAUGACCAUUUCGUGAAAGAUUAGGUUUUGCUUCGCGUAAUGGCUUUUUUUUUUAUCCAAAGUUUAAAUUAGAAACAGUUAGAGUAACAAAAGCCUGACUGGAUUAAAGGAUUCCAGCUUAAUUAUCACCGAUAUAGAGUUGUGGUUUCUGGGAUCACAGUCUCAUCUACCUUAAAUAUCAUAAGCCUUAGGUCCCACCCUACUCCCUUACUCCCAACAAAACAUAAUCCAUGCAUGUGAUUAAUAUUAAUCAGGUCAAAUUUAACCCAUUAAUUGAUGGUCACAAGUUGAAAGUAUGAGUUAAAGUGGAACAUGUCAGUCGUUUGUAGGUAUUAAAAAGAUGAAGAAUAACAGAUCUUCACUAUUGCACUAAAACUAUAACUCAUUACUUGGCAUUAAGCCUUUUUUGAAAGGUUUUUAAGCUUCUUUAAACAAAUAAUUCUAAUUUGUUAAAUUUUUAGUAUUCUGGAAUAUUGGUAAAAAAAAAUGAUUCCAUUUUUAUAAAAGUAGGAUUUAUAAUAAGCCUAAAGCUGAGUAAGCAGGAAUGAAUUGAAACAGCUUUCAAUAAAGAGACUCAAAAGUGAUUUUUCUGAGUGAAAAUUUUAAAUGGAGAAAUAAAAUAACCCUAAUACAGCAGGUCUGUGUUCUUGAGUCUUGAUGAUGGACUUGAUUUUGUGUCACGGCUCCUUUUUGGGUAAUAAUCAAGAUGUAUCAUGUCGUUUUACAUCUUAAUGUUAUUAUUUUUUAAUGUAUAUUUGGUAACGUCAUUAACCAAAUGGGAGGAAGUAAAAUAAAAAGUUACUAUUAGUCCUAAAAUAUUGAAAUGUCGCUAAUUAAAAGAGAGAAAAGUGGCACCAAAUUAAUUUUGAAUGUAGAUUUAGAUGUGCAGAAGAAAGAAAAAAAAAUCUAGUCAUUACUUACAUUAAAUAUCUAUAAAGAUGCUGCUCUUAAAAUCAAGGACAGUAAGUCCAGACCAAUAAAUAAAGAAAAACCAAUCAAUUGCAUUACGAACAUUCAAUUCUGUUGGGGAACACGGAAUACAUACCUAUAAGUCUGACAAAAAACUCCCCCAAAAUGUACUUGUGCUUUCUUUAAAACUAAAUUUGUGACUGGGCUGAAAUUGAAAGUAAUAAAUACAACGACAUAACAAGACAGAAGCAGUUCUAACCAUAACAAUCAAGUCGCUGUCACUAAUUAGACAGUAACACAAAAACAUUGAUGACGACACCAAAAGGAAAACGAAAAGUGCAAAACAUUGUUUGAAGAAGACCGGGAUGCUCUCCAAAGGAUCUUAGCACUACAACCAUCAUUGCACCAAUAAAAUAAUGUAGGAAUUUGCAGGAAAUACUCAAUUAGGUCCAACAGAGGAAAUGUCCAUAUUUGAACAAUCUCUGAAGUAAUGACUGUCUGACUAAAUUUGUAACUAUGUUUUGGGCUCCACCAGUUUUGCAUUUAACAAUGUAAAUAUUCAGAAAGCUUACUGUUGCACAAAAAAGGUUAACAAACAGUUCUGGUGAUCGCAUUGUAUUCACACUAUUAAAAAGCAAUACCCCAUGUUUAAAUUACAUUUUAAAUAUAUAUAUAGUAAUGUAUAUAUAUUCAUAUAUAAACAUUUUUAACUUUUUAAGCUGCUCAGUUUGGCUGACAAGGUGAGAUAUGGUUGAUAUUUGUGCACAAUGAUGUGAGCAAUAAGAUACUCUGUAAAACAAAGCAGAUCAUCCUCAGAUAUACAGCCACAAAAUCAUCAAAUGUUGGAGGCAGUGUUGCAACAUUUUAAACCGACACAAGACAACUUUACCAAAACAGUGAGAAGUUGCUCCACAUUUGCAUUUGCAGAAUAUAAUAGUGUGUGCCUACACUGCCUUAAAACGCUCCUCAUAUAUCGACUAUUUAGGGCAAAUACGGUAGUGUCCGAUAAACUGCUUCCAUUUUUACGACAUUUAAAUAGAAUAGAAGCCUCCGAUUCUUUAUCCUCACAUUUGCUGCGUCUUUCUGUGAGCUUUGCUCAUCUGCACUGCCCCAAAAUGUGCUCUUACAGUACUGUGAAACUGGAACAGUAGGGAAAGAACCAAACAAGCCAGCUUGUCAGCCUCCUUCACAAUGCCCUCAACCAAAUGAGCCCAUACCUGAGGAAGCAACAAUCUCCUACAUCUCUUCGUCCAUUUUAACAUUUACUAGCAAGUGUGGAUUUUACUUCUUUGUUUUAAACAUACUGUACAAAAGAUUUAUUCAAACAAUUAUGCUAGUGCACAAGGCGUGUAGUCACUUGUGGAGAUUUAAUAGUCCUUGAAAAGGGAAAAUAAAUACUCCAAAUAGUUUGUGUUUUACUAUUUCAAUAAAUCCAAUGGCAAUUUAGCAACCAUCAAAGCCAGAAUUAUUCUCUGUAUGUGACACAGGAAUCUUUUUUAUCCUCUCUUAUUUAUUUGAAAUAUGAGGGACAGUUUGCCAUUUCAUGUCCCAGCGGACUUCAAUAAAAACAGCUGCCCCAAGAGGAGCUGAGCUACCAGCCCACGACCAUCACAGUCCUCGUGGAUGACUUGGAUGACAGCGGGUGGGCUCGCCAAUCUCCUCCCAAGCAAAAGGGGCUCAUUACCUGUCACCUAACCCAGUAACAGAGCCUGGACUGAAUCCUGUCCUUCACUUGCUCAUUUAACACAGGGUAGGAUUGGAUUCCUUCAAGACUUUGACAGGAGGGAAUCUCAGAACCCGACAAUGCACGAGACCAUCACUGAAAACACCUUGUGAAAAGAGAAAUUCUCCAAGUUAAGAAGUAGUCAAUGCAAGUCUCUCUGUGUCUAGAACUCAUUUGUGGGUCUUCCAGUUCCUGAGGAGGUAAAGCUUCCAGGCUGAAGGGGUCAGAGAAGAGGUGGGAAGGUGGACAGAUAGGAGCUCCUCUCUGAAAGAGUUGGAGGAGGCCUGUAGGAACCUUCCAGCCCCCACCCUGCCCUCUGUCACCCAUGCCCUCAGACCUGCAGCUGCAGACAGGUACCCUGAAGAGGAAAUAGGAUCUAUUUUCAUAUUUCUGUUUUUCAAUAUUUAGUUAAAAAAAAAAAAAAAAGAGUUUAAAGAAAGACACAACACAACACUUGUUAAUAACACAACCACAAUGAAUUGUUGCUACACCGCAAAGUGAUCUUCUGUUAAAAAUGUGAAAAAUGGCUGCCGUUUCAAUAUUAGACUGUAAGGGGUUUUAAAACAACAGACUUUGAAGUAAACUGCAAAAAUGACCACAAGCACAAAUACAAAUCUUUUUCUGCGUUCCAGUUAGCAUAUUAUUGUGCAUCACCUGCACAUUUGUCACAUGGUUUUGCUUCUUCAGGGCUACUUUUUUUAAUCUGUUUUAAAUUGAAAGUCGCAAUUGAGGGUGCUGAUUAAACACGUCUUCUACAGCUGACCG